rnacentral:lncRNA from 1 species
AAGAGAGAUAAACAGUGCUUUUGGGGUAAAAUCCAGUCAUAAAGAUGCCCUCUGCAAAGGGGAGGUCUAAGGCCUUCUCAACUUGCUCCUCCCACCUCACUGUUGUGUCCAUACACUAUGGAUUUGCUUGCUUUGUCUAUUUGAGGCCCAAGAACAGCAACUCCUUCGAUGAAGACAUGCUGACGGCCAUGAUAUAUACAAUACUGAUGCCUCUGCUUAACCCCAUCGUGUACAGUCUGAGAAACAAAGAAAUGCAGAUAGCCCUAAGAAAAACACUAGGCAGUGUAUUUGGGGUUUUCCCUCAGAAGACAAAAAAAGAGCCUGAACAUUUAAAAAAAUUACACAGCAUUGAUAAAUAAAGGUGAGAAAAGUGGAGUACUUCUAAUUAAUAUCACUUUGUGCACAAAGUGGUUAAAGUAUUGUCUAAU